CUUAUCAAGAGUGGUUGAGGGAGAGGGCCCUGUGAAACCCGGCAACCAGCAGAAAUGCAUUGGUGCCAAUUCCCCCGCAGUGUUGCGGAAGAUGAGA
rnacentral:ncRNA from 1 species